UGACAUACAAGAACUCUAUCUUCUCUCACAAAGUUUUUGUAACUGUCUCGUUAUCAAUAUGAUUAUAAUCAAUAUCUUCCAUAUAUUGUCGAAUGAAACCACAUAUUUGUCUCAUUAACUUGUUGAUGUUUAAAUUCUCCGACUUUUUAGAACAAAAACAUAGGAAGGUGCAUUUUCUUCACAAAUAAAAAACCCUUCAUCUUUUUCAAUCAUAAAUGAUUAUCAGUGUC
rnacentral:lncRNA from 1 species